rnacentral:rRNA from 1 species
UACGUAGGGGUCGAGCGUUGUCCGGAAUCACUGGGCGUAAAGGGCGCGUAGGCGGCCUGAUAAGUAGGGGGUGAAAUCCUGCGGCUUAACCGCAGGGCUGCCUUCUAAACUGUCAGGCUGGAGCACAGUAGAGGCAGGUGGAAUUCCCGGUGUAGCGGUGGAAUGCGUAGAGAUCGGGAAGAACAUCAGUGGCGAAGGCGGCCUGCUGGGCUGUUGCUGACGCUGAGGCGCGGCAGCGUGGGGAGCAAACAGG